rnacentral:snoRNA from 1 species
AAACUGGAUGACGAUGAGAUGGUGUCAUACAUCCUCGCCGGCCUCGACACGGACUACAACUCGAUCGUCUCCACCAUCGCCACCAGGGUCGAACCCAUCACUGUCGGUGAGCUCUACCUCAGCUGGUUAGUUUUGAUC